rnacentral:rRNA from 1 species
UACGUAGGGGGCAAGCGUUGUCCGGAUUUACUGGGCGUAAAGAGCGUGUAGGCGGCCACGCAGGUCCGUUGUGAAAACUGGAGGCUCAACCUCCAGCUGUCGACGGAAACCGUAUGGCUAGAGUCCGGAAGAGGAGAGUGGAAUUCCUGGUGUAGCGGUGGAAUGCGCAGAUAUCAGGAGGAACACCGAUAGCGAAGGCAGCUCGCUGGGACGGUACUGACGCUGAGGCGCGAAAGCGUGGGGAGCGAACAGG